rnacentral:rRNA from 1 species
GUGAGGAAUAUUGGUCAAUGGACGGAAGUCUGAACCAGCCAUUCCGCGUGCAGGAAGAAGAUUCUAUGGAUUGUAAACUGCUUUUAGCAGAGAAGAAACGCCUUCAUUGAUGAGGGUUUGACGGUAUCUGCGGAAUAAGCACCGGCUAACUCCGUGCCAGCAGCCGCGGUAAUACGGGGGGUGCAAGCGUUAUCCGGAAUCACUGGGUUUAAAGGGUGCGUAGGCGGGAAAUUAAGUCAGUGGUGAAAGUCUGUUGCUUAACGAUAGAAUUGCCGUUGAUACUGAUUUUCUUGAAUUGGGUUGAGGUUAGCGGAAUGUGACAGGUAGCGGUGAAAUGCAUAGAUAUGUCAUGGAACACCAAUUGCGAAGGCAGCUAGCUGGGCCUUGAUUGACGCUGAGGCACGAAAGCGUGGGUAGCGAACAGGAUUAGAUACCCUGGUAGUCC